AAUAGCGAGGAUAUAUAUAAGGUGGUUCAAACUCUUGGAUAGCUAUCAGUAUUGCUCCGGUGACAAGAUGGAGAACAUGAAGAAACUGGUGAUAUCAAUUGCACUUAUUUUGCUAGUAGUUUCUCUCGAGUCUGCAAUUAGCGAGGCAGGGCGGUUUGGAAGUUGCUUUAACAAAUGCAAGGAGUUGGACAUGGACUGUGAUUAUGCGUGCAAAGGCUCUGGAUAUGCCGUGGGAGUCUGUCUUCCGCCGUUUAAGGAUUGUUGUUGUUUGAACUGGUAGCUAAACUCUCACCCGAGGAUAAGUAUUAGAGCCAUUUCUCUCUGUGUGCUAAUGUACCUGCGAUGGCUAAUAAAUUAAUAAGAGCGUGUUUCAAUAUUCUUCUUUCGAUUGACA